GUACUUACUCCUACGGGAGGCAGCAGUGGGGAAUUUUGGACAAUGGGGGCAACCCUGAUCUAGCCAUGCCGCGUGAGCGAUGAAGGCCUUAGGGUUGUAAAGCUCUUUCAGUGGGGAAGAUAAUGACUGUACCCACAGAAGAAGCCCCGGCUAACUCCGUGCCAGCAGCCGCGGUAAUACGGAGGGGGCUAGCGUUGUUCGGAAUUACUGAGCGUAAAGCGCACGUAGGCGGACUGGAAAGUCAGGGGUGAAAUCCCGGGGCUCAACCCCGGAACUGCCUUUGAAACUCCCAGUCUUGAGGUCGAGAGAGGUGAGUGGAAUUCCGAGUGUAGAGGUGAAAUUCGUAGAUAUUCGGAGGAACACCAGUGGCGAAGGCGGCUCACUGGCUCGAUACUGACGCUGAGGUGCGAAAGCGUGGGAGCAAACAGGAUUAGAUACCCGAGUAGUCCAGGCAU
rnacentral:rRNA from 1 species